UACGAAGGGGGCUAGCGUUGCUCGGAAUCACUGGGCGUAAAGCGCACGUAGGCGGCUUUUUAAGUCAGGGGUGAAAUCCUGGAGCUCAACUCCAGAACUGCCUUCGAUACUGGCGACCUUGAGUCCGGGAGAGGUGAGUGGAACUCCGAGUGUAGAGGUGAAAUUCGUAGAUAUUCGGAAGAACACCAGUGGCGAAGGCGGCUCACUGGCCCGGUACUGACGCUGAGGUGCGAAAGCGUGGGGAGCAAACAGG
rnacentral:rRNA from 1 species